AUAUUAAUUGCAUUCAAUUCAAUUUGUAAUUGUAAUUUUCAUUUGUGAAGCAGAUUACUAAAGUUUUUGGUUUUGUCAAGAGGGCGGAUGUCAUUUGUAACCGAUUUUUGUGGGGGGUGUUCCGCUCCACCCUGUUGACAGCUACUGAAGGAUUCUUCAGAUGCUUUCAAUCAAUGCUAAAUUCCUCAAAGGGCCCUAACUUGAUGAACCGCACAAAAAAAUCAAUUUCAUAAACAUUCGGUAAGUCCUCUUCGGGGCAUGCGGAGGGUUUUUAAUUUUCCCACUGAUCGAUUUGACUCUGCCCUUUUGCAGUGGAGGCCCCGCGGCUCCAGAUGACGCUGGGGCACACUUUGUCGCCCCUCUGCACAUCAUAUCGCUCGCUGAUUACAUUUGCCUGUGGUGUGUGACCCGGUCCAUCUUCACGUGGCGCAGAUGGAUCGGAGAACCAAACGUGGUUAACGCCUCAAGUGCAGCUGAAUUCAUCACGGCUCGCGGGAGUGAUGAACACGAGUCCCCCACAAAAGUGGCGAGAGUGAAUUUAAAGGCUCCAACGUUCCGCCACGGGCGAUUGUCAGCGACGUCCAUCUGCAAGUUCUUAGAAGGAGCCGUCAAGAGAAGAUGAGAAGAUUAAGGUCCCGUCUAGACAUAAUCUGCGAGAAACGCUUAAUCCAGCGCACUGGAUUUCUUUCACCCUGGUGAGAAUCUUGAGGUCGGCCAUUCCCGCUGCUUGUGACACAGACAACAGCAGCCUGCCCUGCCCGGCCCAACACGACACAACUGUCUGUCAAAGUUUCCAGCAGCCGCUGGUGUCGGCGACGGUGAGUGCGGAUCUGGUAGUGAUUACCGUAACGGAGACAGUAAAUCAUGACGCAGCAUGAAACCAAUUUGUGGUGCGGAAAAAAAAAAAAAAAGGGACCCAAGCCUGGCUGAAUGGAGCCAUGCUCAACUAGAAACGACGCGUUUGCACACAAGCGAAGCUGUCUUAGUGGUCGCCGUUUUGGAAUGUGACGAAUCGUCACGUUUGGCGGAACCAUGACAAGUGACAAAUAUUAAUAAUAAUGUUAUUCAUCUCAAAUAUGUCCUCAAUAUCAAUUUGUUUGUGGACCUAG